ensembl:lncRNA
GCCUUCUGCAGGCCGCAGCGCUUCACCAGCCUCACCGUGGAGCUCAACUGCCCUGACCUGCAGCCGGACGUCCGCUACCGCAAGAUCCAGCGCGUCAAGCAGUGCCGCUGCAUGUCCGUCAGCGUGUCCGAGUCUGGGAAACAGUGAGAUACUGACCAUGUUUCACUGGAAAACACCUGCUGCUAAUCUGAGCUGAGAGACUGCAAGGCUUCAGCACGCCAUCUUAGGACUGUCCUGCUGGACACUGGUCACUAUCAGUCACCACUGGUCACUGUCGGUCACCAUUGGUCUCCAACGGUCUCCAUCAGUCACCGUUGGUCACUAUUGGUCACUAUCAUCUGACACUAUCGCUCACUAUUGGUCACUAUCAUCUGACACUAUCGCUCACUACUGGUCUCCACUGGUCAAUCUCGGUCAUCAUUGGUCACUAUCUUCAUUGGCUACUGUCAGUCAUCACUGGUCUCCAUCGGACUCUAUUGGUCACCAUUGGUCACUAUCAUUCAUCACUGGACACUAUUUAUCACUAUCAGUCAUUGUUAGACACUUUUGGUCACCGCUGGUCUCCAGCCUUUACUGUUGUUCACUAUAGGUCAUCAUCGGACACUAUCGGUUACUACUGUUCUCCAUCGGACUAUAAGUCACUAUCAGUUAUCAUUGGACACUAUUGGUCACCAUCAGUCAUCAUUGGUCACUGUCGGUCACCAUUGGUCUCCAACAGUCUCUAUCAGUCACUGUUGGUUACUAUCGGACACUAUCAGUCAUCAUUGGACAAUAUCGGUCUCCACUGGACACUAUUGGUCACUAUCAGUCAUCACUGGUCACUAAGGUCAUUAUCGGUCACUAGAGAGUGUGUGGAAACUAACGGACGUGCAGAGAAAUGACUCCACACUGAACUCUGUGCGGGAGCUGCUGCCUGUGUGAUGAUCACUGAUAGUUAACACCAAACAUCCAUAACUAGACCGAUUAUAGAGAUUCUAUAGAAAUAUGGUACAGAAAAAGUAUAUAUAUGUAGAGAAACAACUUAAGUCUAUAUUAAAAGUAUUGAGUUCUAUUCUAGUCUUCUGUUUUUUUAGGGGUUCAGUCUGGUUUAUCUAAAGCUGACAUGGGAAAACUAGCCUCCAUGUGGUUUAAUCCGGUUGGUUUUCUUCAUUGGUUAGCAGUUAUUAAAACCCUGGAAGAUUCACAUUAUUAUGUUCGAGAACCUCAGUAAUCAAUUCAAUGCAGAUCCAAUGCAAAUCUUUGGGGAAAAUUGGUGUACUGGAUAUAAAGGCCCGCCCACACCAAGAAUGAUAACUAUAACAAAGUUUCAAUAAUCGCUGUAACUAUAAGAGAACAGUGCAGUCCACAUCGCAACUAUAUGAUAUGGCCUUUAGUCUCACAAUUCUGACUUUUUCCUUGCAAUUCUGGGUUUAUCUCACAGUUCUGAAUUUUUCUUGCAUUCAGAAUUGCAAGAUAUAAACUCAGAAAUGCAAUAUAUGAACUCCGUACUGCAAGCGAAAGGUCUGAAUAUUUGAGAAAACACAAUUGUGAGGAAAAAAAAGACAGAAUUGUGAUUAAGUCAAAAUUAGGAGAUGCAAACUCAGAAUUAAGAGAAAAAAGUCAUUAAUUCGCAUUCAAUUUAUAUCUUGUAAUUCUGACUUUUUCACUGAAUUUUGAGUAUAAAUCUGACAAUUUGGAGAUUAUAUCAUGCAAAAUGGAGGAAAAAAGCCAAAAUUGUAAAAUAUAAGCAUGCAAUUGUCAGAAAAGGUCAGAAAAUUACGAUUUUAAAAAAAAGUCACAUUUACCUUUAUUUUUUUGUUUUAUGGUAGAAAACAAAGAAACAAUUCCAAGAUGUAAACUCAGAAUUGAGAGAUAAAUAAAUUUUAAGAUAUCAACUCA